rnacentral:rRNA from 11 species
CUUUACUGCUGUUUUGUUUUGUGUGGGGGGAACACCCAAUCCUAUCUGAUUUUGGAAGCUUAGCAGGGUCAGAUUUGGUUAGUACUUGAAUGGAGCACCACCAAGAAAUACCAGGUGUUGUAGAUU